rnacentral:rRNA from 1 species
UACGUAGGGUGCAAGCGUUAUCCGGAAUUAUUGGGCGUAAAGAGCUCGUAGGCGGUUUGUCGCGUCUGCUGUGAAAACCCGAGGCUCAACCUCGGGCCUGCAGUGGGUACGGGCAGACUAGAGUGCGGUAGGGGAGAUUGGAAUUCCUGGUGUAGCGGUGAAAUGCGCAGAUAUCAGGAGGAACACCGGUGGCGAAGGCGGGUCUCUGGGCCGUAACUGACGCUGAGGAGCGAAAGCAUGGGGAGCGAACAGG